UGGGGAAUUUUGGACAAUGGGCGAAAGCCUGACCCAGCAAUGCCGCGUGUGUGAAGAAGGCCUUCGGGUUGUAAAGCACUUUUGUCCGGAAAGAAAUCCUUGGCUCUAAUACAGUCGGGGGAUGACGGUACCGGAAGAAUAAGCACCGGCUAACUACGUGCCAGCAGCCGCGGUAAUACGUAGGGUGCAAGCGUUAAUCGGAAUUACUGGGCGUAAAGCGUGCGCAGGCGGUUUGCUAAGACCGAUGUGAAAUCCCCGGGCUCAACCUGGGAACUGCAUUGGUGACUGGCAGGCUAGAGUAUGGCAGAGGGGGGUAGAAUUCCACGUGUAGCAGUGAAAUGCGUAGAGAUGUGGAGGAAUACCGAUGGCGAAGGCAGCCCCCUGGGCCAAUACUGACGCUCAUGCACGAAAGCGUGGGGAGCAAACAGGAUUAGAUACCCUGGUAGUCCACGCCCUAAACGAUGUCAACUAGUUGUUGGGGAUUCAUUUCCUUAGUAACGUAGCUAACGCGUGAAGUUGACCGCCU
rnacentral:rRNA from 1 species